GUUGGAUUUAUUAACCACUGAGCCACGACGGGAACUCCAGGAUCUCAUAGUCUUCAUUUGCAUCUGAGUUUGGACUCAUGGGAUUUUGGGUAUCCUUGACUUUGCCGCCUUUGGGGUUUCCAUAGGUCUCACAUUUAAGGAACUCUUAUUCAAAGAAUAGUCCUGUGUUAGUCUCAUAUUACAUUCUAACUUCUCUGAUAACUUUGUUCCCAGUAUGUUCUGAAUAGAAACUUGACUUUGAUCAACAUCAAGUCUUUGCCUUAAGGUUUAUGCUAUUAAGAUCUCUACAAAGUUGUUUCCUAUCCCAAAGACACAUAAUCUAUUUUCCUCCAUUAUAUUGGGUCUCUAGUCAUUUAGGCUCCAUUAUAAAAUUAUGGCUAAAUAGCUUCUCUAAAAGACGAGAAAUGUAACAGUGGUAUGGUAUUUGGCUAUCUUUCUCCCUAAACUCUCUUUCUCGACACCAUUUAAACCAGCUUAUCUUUUGCCCUUGAGCUGUAGUAGCCCCUCUGUCAUAGUUCCUAGGCACACUUGGGCCUUGCCCCUUUGUCCUUGUGCAAAUACAGUGCUGCUUCACACCAUAGCAGUCUAUUGCUAGGUCAAGUUCCCGUUAUACUUUAAAGUUGACAUAAGUAUUUGUGGACCUACAUUAUUUCUCCAUAUAGGUUUGAGAGUAAACCUGUUCUUCAUAUUAAGAUUUAGUAUUACUUUAAAUUCAUGAAACUAAUUUAGAGAGAACCAAGUUUUAAUUCUUUCAAGAGCAUGGACUAUUCAUUAUUUUGGAACCUUAUUAAAACCUUAAGUUAAUUCCUAGAAACCUUGUAGUUAAGUACAUUUUCCCUCUUCCUAGCUUGCUAAAUUCUAAACAGGUUAACCACUUUCCUUACUGGAAGAAAAAGCACUUGAUUUUUUUUUCUCUAAUGUAUAAAUAACAUGUUAAAAUAUCUUAGACUUGUAUGAGAAAGUUUCUUCCUGAGAAACUGCUUGAUCAUGUUGUAAUAUUAAUUACACUGUUGGAUUCAGUCAACUAAUUGUUCAGUCUUCUGCAUCUGUAUUUGUAAGUGGAAUGGGCCUGUGACUUUGCUGGCUGGGAACAAAAUCUGACAAUCCAUAACUAUAAAAACCAUUCUUUCCAGAGUGUUCCAAAAGAAGUGAUAGCUUUUUUGAAGGGUCAGAACUUAAGCUUGGAAAGAAGACUAACUCCUCAUAGAGGCCAGCAGAUAUUUGCCCAUCCUGGUGGGCUUCCUGUCAGCAGAGCUGGUGUGUACACACUGGCCUGAAUGAAGCCCCUUGGGGUGGGGGAUGUGUUCUAGCCAGUGAACUUCUCCAGUAUUAUUUCCAGGGAACCAAGUGAAUUCUUCACAUCCAUGCAAAUAGAACAAGAGUUUGAACUUGUAGGAUCAUUUCUAAGAAUUUAAUGUCACUUCUAAGAAUUUAAUGUCAAGUCUUCAGCUUUAGUCAAAGAUGUACUGCCCUUUUCCAGAUUUAUUUAUAAUAACUCAAUUGUUAGAAGGAGUACGCUUUUAUAAAAAGCAAAUAAGCAAAAAUGUCCCUUUUCAGAGAUCACUGCUGCAGUGGUCUAAUGCUGAUACAGAUACUUCUCUGCAUAUAAAAUGAGACCCAUACCAUCUUUUUUCAGUCAUUGAUCUUGAAAUCAGUAAAAAUUCAUUUAACUCCUAUUUAAAUUUUUUCCAUUGACUCAAAUGUUCCCUGGAAUCUGUCCAAACAGGUCUCAAUCCACCACGCUUAGUCUGGUUAUAUCUGGACUCAAUCUAGUACACUGCCUUCUGACAGUUCUGUAAGAAACCCAGUAAGUUCUAGAAUAUCCCACCUUCUAGAUUAGCUUGGUAGCUGGUUCCUAGUGUUACCUUGCUUGCUCUUUUAUUCUGUGUAUCCUAGAACUUGGAACUUGCAUCUGAACACUUGAGGUCUAGCUUAAUGUUGAUAUUGAAUUUAUCACGGGUAAUACUCCAUGGUGUAUAGUCAGGUGCCAUUAGUGAGAAUUUCUAUAGGGUCAAGGUGGCCAUCAGAUCCUUCAGAGUUCAUGUUUCCUUGUGAUUGUGAAGAAAUUCAACACAUCAUGUCCACAUAAACAUCCAGUGUCCCACCUCCACUUGCUGGCUAUCCUGAAGCACACAGUCCUCCCCUGGGUCUGGGGGUGGUGCUGUACUAGAGGCAAGGCUGCCCUCAGGCUGCUCUGCAGAGGGUUUGCUAUGCCUGCAGAAGGAGCUACUUCCUGCCUCUCCUAGGUGUCCACACAUUCCUUUCCCAUCUCCUGAGAUGAUGAUGUUGUUUCAUGUGGUGGUACCUCUGUUCCAUCAGUGAGUUGGCUUAGAUUUACUCUCCAUAAAUGAAGGUCUUGUGGGGACCUAGUUAGCUUCCCAUAGAAUCUCUUUAAUAGCCCUUUAGUUCUUAGGCUUUCACUGAGAGGUUGCCAAGGGUGCUAUUCUGGGAAAAUGGGUGGGAACUUAGUUGAUCAAGCUAGUGGAUGCCCUCCAAGUAUGUGUGAAACGUUCCCGCUUUAGCAUCUCCCUUGGGCAACAGGUGGGAGGAAGACCUUUGCCCUCCAGGUGAAUGAGACUGUAGGGACCUCGCAGACUGGCUGUGACAAGCAUGCCACUGAGACUAGGGUCAGGCCAACUCCUGGAGGUGGGCUCACAGACUCUUGCUCAGCCCUGCUGUGUCUUAAAUGGGGCUGGUGCUAAUGGCUCCUAUGGGAUGUCUGAGGCUGGUCCUUUUGACCCCAUCUUUGCAUUCCAAUGUUGUGGGGAUAACCACAGUCAUGGAAAUUGCUGAGAGCAGACCCUCCCAGAAGAUGAGUUAGCAUCUUGGACUACACCAGAACCUCUGAUAGGCCUUGCGCUGAUGAUGGCUUUGUGCCCAAAGGGAGGGACUCACUGCUUGAGCCACUUGUAUUCAGGACUGUUCCUGUAUGUUGCUGGCCCCAAAAGGCCUUUCUGUGCUAAUAUGUCUACGCCUAGAAGUGACAGGUAAAACUCAACCUGUGAGGCCAGUACUGGUAUCUCUUGGCCCCUGGCCAAGGCAGGAGGUGGGGCCAGGACUCCAAAGAAUUCUUCAGCUGAUAUGGUAGUGAUGACCUGCAGCAGCUGUGAUAAGAACUGAGCACUUUGCUGUAAGGUGAUGUUGAGGGACCAUCUCUGCCCUAUUUCCUGUCCCUUGUAUCAUAGGUCACAGGAAUACCUCACUGACUUGAUGUAAGUAGAAAUGAUGUCACUUCCAGUGCAGGAAGCAGAGGGUGACUGUGUUUUUUCCAUGUCCUUGUGCAGAGGUGACCCCAAAGGCUAUGUAUUCUGAUGGUACAGCUGAAGAAAGGCUGAUCCCAGGUCUGUAUUGGGGAGAGAGCCUUGCACAAACCACCCACCUCAGACUAGAACCAGAAGUCAGCUUCUGUUAAGCCAUCCAGAACUGAGCCCUGAGAUGAUAACUUGGUGUUACCUGGACAGAUACAUGUCCCCCAUGGAUUGGGGAAUGCUCUCCUGCCCAUCUCUUUGCCUCAGCUAUGAGAGCCAUUGCUGCUCCUGGGACAGACAGAUGUGGAUCUCCAGAGCUGUCAUCCAAGGGCCCAGGCCGUACUCAGGGCUUAACUGCCCCAGCAAGGUGUCUGUUUCCUGUAUCUGCUCCCCAUCUGCACCCCACCCCCAGUGUGGCUCUGAUGCCUGGUUUCUUUGUUUUAGCUUCACCUGUGUUGAGCCCCACAAGGCCUACCUCCCAUGUUUGCCUUGCUUUCCCACCUGCUUCUGGUCAGAUACCAUGGCUUUGUUCUCCCAAGGUCUCACUUCUUACUACUUCAGGCCUCCCUCCAGCCCCCGCUCCCAGAGGGCAGUUCUGUCUCUACUUAGGUACAUGCUGAAGCCAGAACAUGGCUAACUUUUUACAGAAUUCUCAAGCUAGUAAGAGCUCUCUCCCCACAGUCAGCACAUGAAAAUGAUUUCUGAUGAGAAAUUAUAAAACUAGAUCUUGGACUAGAACUUGGAAAUGGAGGUACUUGAAUAUUUUGCCAUGAGAAGAUAUCUAACAGAAAAACAGUGGAAGACCAGCACUCAGUAUCCACUGACUGCUCUGUGUUGCUGCCUCUGCCCUCUGUAGCAUAUGGGGGUUUAGCCAGAUGUUGAGUUGGUUCUCUGACAGGUACCUACACUUGUAGGCUCCUCAAAUCAUAGAAGCUCAGAUUGAUAUGUUGACCAUUUGUACUGGUGCUUUGACCUUAUUAAGGGUGAAAGCUAUAAAUCUCUCCUAACUUGACACUUGGUCUCUUUCUAUCCCCUGGGCUCCUGUAAGCUGGGAGAGGUAGCCUCUAAGAAGAAUUCCCAAGACUCAAAGUGGCUAGAGUUAUAUAUAACCAGGCAGGCAGACCAGCUACCAGUACCAAGGGGCAGGGUUCUAUUGCCCCAGGGGCCAUUUUAGGCCACUGCAAAGCAGCCCAUAGAAAGCAAGGAGCUGUGCUAAGUCCCUUGGAUUAUCACUUGGGGUCCUCACUGGUCUACAAGACGUGGCAGGCUUGGGGGGGAUGGUGGUCAAGGAUUCGUGUGCUUGUUCCUGUCUCAUUCUUCUUACCCUGUGUGCAAAGCCUCACAUCUAUAGUGUAAUCCCUGGGGACAGCCUUUCACUCUUUCCCUUCUAGGUCUUCUCUUUGCUGGGUACAGGGAAGAUGGAAGAAGUGGGAAGGGUUACAGUGAGGGAGCAUUUGACACCUGAUUCUCUGCCCUGCUCUAUAUGAUGGGGGCCUAUUGUCCUGUUCCUUCUGUCUUUAUCCGGGUGGUAUUUGCUGAUAUCCCUUGAAUUGGUGUUACCUGACUAGUGACCAAAGCUGGUAGCAUAGAGCAGGGUGAGGGACUAGCUUUCUCAGUGUGUUGUUCUUGGUUCCUUUCUUCCAAGGAUCUCCAGGCUAGGGGAGCUGGGCUGCCUGGGUUCCCAGGGCUCAAACCUGUUCACGUUUGUCAGUUCGGAUAUCCAUCCCCCACUUCCAUUAAAACCUGGAUUGACAGUUAUCACCCAGGAGGCUCCAACUUCUGAGUGAAUCAUAGGGUUGUGGAGGGCAAGGAACACAUAGGGAAGGGGGUACUUGUUGACCACAGUCACAGCUCUGGGUAUUUUAGCAAGAAGCAUGUUGGCUUAAGUUGUCAGCUCUUCUGAGAGCUGAGUGUGGUGAGUUCAGGCAGGAGGAAUUGGACAGGUCCAUUUUGAAACUUCCAUCUGGAAGUCAGUUGGCAUCCCUGGACUUGGGGAGAUGGUUUCCUUUAUAGACACUUUUGACCAAAAUAUACAGAGCCUGCCCCAGGUUUAGAAGUGAAUAGGAGAGAAACUGGGGAUGAUUAAACUAAAACCAGUAUUAAGUCAAUAGCAUGCAAGGAUUGGAGGGGGAAGGAACUACAGCCUCUAUAGCAGAAAAGGCAGUGUGGGAGCCGUGAAGAGGAGACUCAAAGUGGGCCCAGGAGAAGGACUUGUUUGUGUGUUAAGUCCAGAGGCAAAGCAGCUUAACUUCUACACUGCUCUCUUAUAUACCUGACACCUUGAGUGACAUGUUUAUGGGAAUAAGAUGGCCUGGCUGGGAGGCCUGACAUGCCCAUCUGUCUGGUGGGGGACUAGACCUGGCAUAUCAGUAGAAUAAGUACAUUGACCUUGAAUAAGUGCAUUUGUAUUUGGCUUGUUGGGGGUGGGCUUGUGUGCAGUGGUGACUGGGGAAGAUGAGCUGAGUUCAUGGGAUUUUCUAGUGUCCCUAUCAGGUCUUGAGGAGGUAGGGCAAACAAACAUGUUCUAAUGGUUGACAUGUGGCCACAUUAUGGUACUUCUAGGCCAGCUGUCCAUCGGACUCCCCCAGCUCACUUAAGCAGGGAAGUUGCCUAAGUCCAGGCAGAACCUAUUGGAUGCAGAGAGAAACUAAAGAUGGUAAUGGGGAAGGAGCCUGUGUCAUUCUCCUCAGACCUAAGGAUUUACUAGAAGAUAAGCCUGGAUGCUCAAUUGCUUAGUCUUGAGAAUUUCCUUGGAGAAAUGAGGACAGUAUCUUGCAGCAAUUCUAGAAUUUACAAGUGUUCUCACUCAGUGAUUUGUCAGAAUUGGGUUACUUAUUGUUUUUGACUCUAAGGGUAAAAGUAUUUGGGCAUAUGGGCAUCAGAUAAAAAGCUUGCAUAACCCCAACUCAAAGGUGGAUGGGGUUGACAAGAGAGACUUAAGCCCGAAUCAGACCAUGUUGGGACUCUCAGGCUGAGUUGAAGGCUCUGUUGCAUACACUUAAAAUGCUAGGAUUCCAAAUGGAAUUUAAGCAAAGGCAGGAGAAGAGUGACCAGAUCGGAUGAUCUUUAAAUAUCUUUCAGGUCUACAGGCUAGAGCCUGGCUGAGACUUUAGCAAGAAGUAUUGGUGACUUCCUAGAAAAUUUGCAGCUCCUCAGGUGGGGAAAAAAACUUAUGGAAGAGUAAAAGCCAGUGAAAUAGAUGGGAUCAAGAAAUGCUUAGGAGGUAGAACAGGGUUGGUUAAGGGAGAAGAGCGAAAAAAAAAGUUCGUGGUCACCUGGUUAACUUUUGGUCCACAGUGUGAUGUUAGCUGAGACAUCUCUCUAGCUCCUUAGACGUGAGAACAAGUUGAGUGUGGGGCAAUGUUGGUUUGUGUUGCCCAGCUUCAAGUGAAGGCAUCCAGUAGGGAGAGAUCUGCCUGCAGACCAGGAGCAGUCAGGCUGGAGGCCAGUCCCCAGUGUGCUGAGUGUAACUGAAGACCUGAGACCUGGAAAUGGGACUACAAGCUGAGAAGCAGGUCUAAGAGUACAUAUCUAUAAAUAGUCACCUCUUCUGCCUACACUUUAUUUCUGGAGAGUGAGUAGCAGAGAUGACAAGAGUAGUCCCCUUUGGGGAAAAGCUACUUACUUCUAGGCCACUAGAGACCUUAGGAAGAAUUCAAGAUAUAAGGACAGACUGAGAUUGGGGCAGACAAUGUGAAAUGGAAAAUGGGAUGCUCAGGUGUGUCUUGAACAACAAAAGAAGACUAACCAGAAAAGGUCCUAGAGUAGAAAGAUUUUUAAAGUCUAGAGAAGCUACAUGCUGUAUAGCCAUGGAUGGAAAGUGUCCAGCAGCAAGUAAGGCAAAGAUACAGGAUAUCUGAUAAAAUAAGUCUCCCAAGUAAGAAAGGCUGGCAUUAGCUUUUCUGUUCUGUUUCCAUUGUUCAGUUCCCAUCACUGUUUUUCGUCACUACUAAUGCUGUGGAGGGACUAGUCAGAAGCUGGCUGCUGACCUCACUCCACGGAAGCCUCCUAUGAUCUGCCUUAGUGGAUGUCUGAGGCCGGGGACCCAGGUAGAUGUCUGGGAAGGAUGCCACAGGCAGAGUGAGCAUCCCUAGGAUGAUUGAGCGCCACCCUGGAUGUCCCUCUCAGUUCAUCUCCCAGGCGUGUGGCUCCCUGAGAGUCAAGGUGUAGAGAGAACUUGUUCUAGAAUAAAGAUGGCAAACAGGUCCUUAACUGCUGUGGUUUGGGACUUGACCCAAUGGCUUUUCUCGCUCAGUUCCCAACUCUUCAGAAUUAACUGCAACAGGUAGUGGCAUCUGGGGACAUCAGUUCUGAGCCUCCCGGCUCCUGGCCUGCCCAAUGCUGCCUGUGUGACCUUGUCUUCAGGGCCUUACUCCUUGUUCCCUUGAACUUGUUCACCUUCCAUUCUACCAGGGACCUCUGUUCUGCCGGCCGUGGACAUGAGGGCCAUAGUGUCUACGGCCCUCGACACCCAGGUGUUCUACCUGCCUGUUUGGUAUCUCCCAGCUGCUCCAGGUGCUGGGACUUGCCUGGUGAGAUUCAUUCAGACCCCAGCUGAACUGAUAGCAUCUCUCUUUCCAGCUGUUUUUCCUCUCCUGCCCAAGCCCUACUUUUUGUUGUGGCUUCCACAUAAUCCGGGGUGUGAGGCGUCUAAGGUCUAAAUCUGUCAAGUUCAAUCCUAGUUUUCCCUUCACCCAGUCAUACGGGUUAGGUUCCGGUUGGUAAGGAAAAAAAUGCGGCUGGAGCUUGUUAGGGCCACCUCCUCACUUAUCUAAACAUCUCUCCUUCCUGCCUUUCUUCCCAGGUCACAUGUCCUAAGAAUUCUCAGCCCCAGGAGUUGUUUCAGAGUUUUUACAUAGGAAGAUGGUAUAUCUGCCAUGCAGCUGUGUCUGGACUAUCAGCCUAAGCAGUACAUCAUGAACUUGGCAUACUUGGUGUGAGCAGAAACCAUGAGGCCAAAGCUCCCUUAAUACUGUCACUUCUUGGUCCCAUUAGAGAGGAUGGAACCUCAAGGAUUCCCCUUGAGCAGGGGUCUCACAGAUGAUCACAGCAGACAAGCACUUGGACAGAGACCAGAAUCAAUCCAUGGUCUGGGUCACUGCUGUCCUACCCUAGGUAUCCCAGGACCUAUUCUGUCCUGCCCUACUCUUAGGAUCCAUAGCCAAGGUCACUUAGGAAACCUCCUUAAACAUUUGUUCCACAGACCUUCCAAGUUUGUCACCCUUAAAACAUGUCACCUAAGGUCCAGCUUGUCUCUUCAACCCAAGAAACUUCUUAGGGGUUGGUCUUGUACAAAAAUUCCACACACUGUUACUGGAUGUCAGCUCUGUCAUGGCCUAUGGUGCAGAGGCCAUGUUUAUGCCUUUAGGGAGCUCACUGCCCUGAAUGACAGGUCAUAGCCCUGGGCUGUAAUAAGUACAUGCUCAGUCAAGCCUGAACUCAUCAUGGGAGGCUUACCAGGAAGCCCUGACUCUGAACCAGGGCUCCAAACUACGUCUCUUCCCAGGGGAGAGCAUUCCUUAGCAGAGGCCUUGUGCAGAAGGCAGGGCUGCUGGCAUCUUGCAUCAACAGCUUCUCAGGGCUGGGUGACUCCCAGCUGAGCUUCUGAUUAGAAGCGGGGGUACCCCAGGACCCACUGGGUCACAGGCUGUGUUUCUUAAACUAAUGGAUAUCAUACACAGCAGGGUCCCUCUCAGAGGGGAAGGGCUUAGGUUUUCAUCUCUCACCAGCUUUGCUGGUUCCCCUCCCCAUUCUCUCCCACAGUGCACCCCCCCCUUGAAUUUAUUCUCAAGUUGCUAAAGGUCUGUCCAGGGUAGGCCCUGGGUUCCUGGGUUCCUGGCUUCCCAGCCUGCUUUGGGAAGAGCUUUGGUCCUUGGAUCAAGCCUUUGGCUGCCUCCCUAUACUUCAGUGCUCCCUUGGUCACAGGGCCCAUCCUGACUCCCUGCUGCCCCUGAGGAGGUGUGUUCUCCAAGGGUUCAUCCUUCUCUUCCAUCCUCUUCCCUAGGUCCUCAGAUUUGCCUAACAUCAUCUUUGCAACCUGGUACCUGGGUUCCUGCUAUGUGCCACCUGUGGCCUCUGACCUUGUGGUUUGGCUGCUUGCCCCCUCCGGCUUCUCUGGCCCCCUUUGCUGGCAGCCUCCCCCUCUGCCUUUGCUGCCAGCACCUGUCCUGUGAUGUUCAAGAGCUCAGGACUACUCCUGGAGAACCAGGGACAGUGUUCACGUGAUGGUGAAACACAAAAGUUUCACCUCUAGACUGCCUUCCUUUCCAUCCCAGAGUGAGACUGAAGCUCCCCAAAUUUGCAGGGAGAGAAAACUGUAGUCUUGCUGGGGACACUGGCUCUCCAGGAGUAGCACAUGAGUUUGUUGUUGGGGUGUGUGUGUGUUUUGUGACACUGGGUUAGUGCCUGGGGUCCCAGGAGCUGGGUCUCUUGGCCUGGGCUGGAGAAGGAGGUGAGGGCCAGGGCCAGAGGGUGCCCGGCUGGUGUGGUGGCUGAUCCUGGCCUAGGCUCUAAGGAUGCACUAAUCGUAUCAUGCACAGCAGGGCUAGGGUGAAGACUGCCAUUCCUCUGAGACUUGUACCCUCCCCACACCUUCCCUAUCCUUAAAGGGUCUUGGAUAUACAAUAAACAGAGGCUGGGAGUGCUGUGCAUGUAUCUAUUUCCGGGUACAGGCUGGCUUGCCUAUGGCCUUCUAGCCUAGCAUCCUCCACACCCCGUCCCCCGCCCCAAUGAGCAUCACAGGCCUGGAGAGUCCUGGGGAGAUAGGGCCUCAGCAGAUUGGUGCAAUCCUAGUCCUCAGAUGUGCUAAGACUGGGGUAUAAACAAAGACCCAAGUAGAAGGUGUCACCUGCGUGUAGUGAUGAGCAGAAGGAAGGGGAGGGUAUCUGAGUUCUGACGGUCUGGGUGCAAGCAGACCUUUUGGGGAUGGUUGAAUUUUUUUUUUUUUUUCACAAAUGAUAGAAAUUGGGGAAUGGAGGUGGGGAGAGGCAGAGAGGGUACCAAUAUACUCAAAGUUCUAAGUUCUCUUCAGAUCAGAAGUCUGGCCUAGCACAACACAGGAUAAUAGAAUCGUAACUAUGGUUGCCAGUGUGAGACUCUACUUGGAGCGCUUGAGCCUGAGGGCCCUCCUAGACAAGACUAGGACAGUCGGGUCCAUAAGCAUCUCAUGGUUCACAGAUCUGAGACUUGUUGAAAUACUUGGUGUCCUAGCUGUGCUUCUAAGCACUGAAAUAGAAUUGUUGAGGAGGUGGAAACAGGCUACCAGUGCUAGACCUCUGUAGAGAAGUCUUGAGGCAUUUCUCCUGGGUUCUGCGCCCUCCUGACUGCUCCACCUCCUGGCAGGGAGAUCAUUGCUAUUGAGAAAGUCUGCUCUGAUGCAGUGACCCCCUAGCAGCGGGGUCUAGAGCAGGGCCUAUUUCUAGCAGGCGGCAGCUCUAGCGAAGCCUAUCCAAGCCAUCAUGCACUCUGGGCUUCAGCUCCACCUGAGAUGAGGUUGAGAACACAAAUUAAAAUAAUCCUGAAACAUUAGGGGUGUUUUCGCCAAUCUGAGGCUUUUAGGGAGGUGGGGGGCAGUCUCUGGGGAGUGGGGGUGGGCAGGAGGCGAGAGAUGACGGGACCCGGGAGAAUCAUUCAUCUACAACACCUAGAUCUAACGAUGGUGACCAGGGGGGUGGAAGAAGCUGCUGCCAUCAUAGGCUUGUUUAUCCCCAACUCAUGGACUCUUUGGAACUCAGUGAAGAUCACUAGGGGGAAGAAUCUUGCCUGAAAUGCUGGCAGCAAUGAAGAGCCACCAGAAGUAGAAUUUCCCAGUUGUGUAGGUGUUUCAAGGCAACAGUCUGUCCCUGUUGGAAUCAGAACUUGUAUCGGGAGCUGAGCUGGAAUCAGUGCUGGAGAUCACAGUGCUUGGGUGUGGGCUCCUGGGUCAUGUGCAGGCAAAGCCCAGUAUUUCAGUUUGACCUGUAGUGGUCCGGCAGCUGGUCCUCGCAUUAGGACAGUGAAAGACUGGUAGAUCUGUCAUUGCUAUGGAGCAGCCAAGAGAUCUCCCCAGCAGGCAGGAAACUGACACACAAGAACCAAGGAUCUCUCCCUUUAUUGCUUCCUGGAAGUAUCAUCCUUCCUGUAAUUUGGCCCUGGACUUGUCCUUCAGUGGAAUUUAGGACAAGCAGGUGACUAAGCAGAGCCCAGAAAGCUCAGUAUCUAUCUGCAAAGGCUGGUGCCUACAAUGGCUGGAGCCAUCUAGGACUGGACAGACAUGCUGAGAACCCUAAGCCACAUCUGCCCACGGGACUAGCAGCCCAAGUGUGGGUUUGCACUUGACUAUAUGCUUGGUUCCUGGUCCCUCUGAGAAGCUGCAGUUGCUUCAUACAGACUGAACCUGAUACGAAAGCAAGACUUCAGCCUCAAGGCUUCUGAUUCAUACCCCAGGUGAAGUGGCUUCACACCUGUGUCCUUGUUACAGCUUGUGGAUGUCUAUAUUCAGAGCUAGACACUGCCCUGGCACCCUGGUGGUGGUGGCCUUGCAGCCAAGGCCCUUGGCAUGAAAGCUGGCCUUCUCAUGGUGGCUGUGAUCUGGCUUUAGGGAUGUUCCUUCAGGGGCUCUAUGAGCAAAGGCAUUCCCAAGGGCACAACUCCAGUAGGACAGCAUCCAUCUGAAGCCUGGACUGCAGCCCUUCCUCAGAUGUGGCAGAGAGACUCAUCUUGGGCCAACAGGUCAGACAUAGACACAUGACCCAGACUCCAUCCAUCUGCCCUCCUUGGAUUUGGAAUAGAAGCCAAUGAGCCAAAGCUUCCAGGCCUCCGGACGACAACCUUCUCUUUGUGACAUUGCAACAAGCUCAGGUUCCAGGCAGCCCUGGAAAUGGGCCACAUCUGUGCCCUCAGCAGUGUCGGCUGUGGAAGCUGCUACUUGGUGGUGGGGCCAAGGUGUCCCUACUGGACAGAUCUGUUGGACGGCCUUGGAGGCCAAGGCUAUCCCCCUCCUAAUGAUCCUGUGAGUUCUCCCCAAUUUUCACAAGUUCCUGUUUCUGCUUACAACAGCCAGAAUGGGCUUGUUGCCUUAUAACCAAGAACCCCUGCCUGAGAGAACUGGAAGCUGGGCUAGCAGGCGACAAACUAAGUCUUAAAGGAAAUGGGCUGCAUUCUGACCCAUUGAGGCUGAAGGCGCAAUAAUCCAGCUGGUAGGAAGUUGUGAGAUUCUUGCCGCCUGAGGCUUGUGGAAACAGAACAGUUGCUGAGAACAAUGUGCUUUAAGCUGUCCAGCCACCACUCAGCUAGGCUCGUCACAUCUUCCAUGCUGCACAAAGGGAGUGGUUUGUCACCCAGAGCUGUUUGGUGGACAUGCUGAUGCUGGGCCUUCUUCUAGCCUCCAGUCAGUAAGAAACAUGGCACCUGGUGGCUGCUCUGGUUUUUGAAGACAGCAUAUGCCAUACUUGUCCAGGCUUCAUUAGUAACUUGAAAGGCUGACUUUGGCUCCCAGAGUGGGAUGUAGCUCCAUCCAUUGGCUUCUAGGAUGUUGGGUAGCCAAGAGUAUGGAGCAAAUUUGGAUGUGUUAUGAAACACGGGGCAAGCCUUUAUAAGGGGCUUGCACUGAACUACUUAAAGUUUUAGGGCAAAGACUGGCUGCUUUCUGCAAACAAUUGUUCUUGCAAAGAGAUGGUGCUUAACUUUCUAUUUGGUCCCUGGUGGAAAUUGGCUACUGCCUAUGUGAACCAGCUGUGAUGUACCCAACCAACAUUGAGCAUGCUUGGUGGCCCAUUAAAAGGAAGUCCUCAGUAAGAGCAGGUCCAAGUAGGUCCUAAGAACACAUGUAAAUUACAUGAGCAGGUGGUUAACACAAUGACUAAUCCUGCCACUUAUUCCUCUAGCCAUCCUUAUCUCAUGGAGAAAAAUCUUGACACAGGUCUGGACAACAUGCUAGUAUCAGCUAUGUUGUUGAACACUAUGUGACUGCUAUAAUGUUCCAGCACCACUCAAGGUGACCUUGAAGGACCAUAGAAAAAGAAGUCUUUGACAGGCAGGACUUUGGACAGGCCAUUUUCUUUGGCUUGUAGGACGCAUGGUCAAAAUGAUCUACAAAGACCUGUCAUAGGCUAGGUUAUGACUGCUGGUCAUGGACUUGGAAGCAAGAUUACAUGAUUAGUGACAAGGAGGCUUAGAAAAGAAGUACAUAGGUAACAGUCUUCGAAUAGAUCUGAAAAUGUGGUCGUAUCCCUUGCAAUUGCUCACAGAGGCCCUACCCUAGAGAAGGCUCCCAAUUAGAUGAGCUAGGUGGUCUGACCUCUAGUCAGCCUCCUUCCUCAGGCACCCCAGUUCUUAAGGACUCGUGAAGUGCCAGGGAGCAUGAUCAAGGCCAUGCAUGGAUGAACUUGAACUUCUCAUAGGGGCUGAACUGAGAGCUUCUGAACGAGCUUGCCAGCAACAAUAACCGGGAGCCCCUGACAAACCUCAGAAAGCAGUCUGAUACCUGAUGGUGGGUUUCCUUCAUUGAACUCCUAUGGAGUGGGGUGGCUAUUUGCCAUUACUAGAACGUAUAAUUCCAAGGAAUUACACCUUUCCCUGCCCAUGAAGUACGUUAAAACCAUCCAUGAACUUGAAUGUAACAUUUAGCUUAACUGUCACCCAUCCAGACCUGCAUCUGAUGAAGGAACUAGUCUCUUGGCAUAAAUCAAUUGGCUUAAACCCAUGAAAUCCUCUUGUUCUGGCAUGACCCCCAACUCCCAGAAGCAGGUGGCCUUACAGAACUGUGGAAUAGUCUAUGGAAACUUCUACUAUUGUACUACCUUGGAGCUUGGAAUACCAUCAGAGGGUGUGCUGUAUGUUCUAAACCAGAGACUGGUGGGCUGGUGGUUCCCUUCAUAGCCAGACUGCUUGGAUCCAGGUACUGAAUGGCAUAAAUGAAUGUGCCACUUGCCACUGUAACAGAGGUCCUGCUCAUGAAACUCCCCAUCUUAAGUUACUGGCCUCUGCUAGUUUAGAUGUCGUAAUGGUUAAAAAGAGUGAGGAUUUUACCAGAGAAUUGCCAUUGAACUAGAAGUAGAGGCAGCUUCUACUCCUCUGCUACUUUUAACAGGGAAAGGGGGGUUAGUGAGUGCUGGCUGGGGUGACCUUGUCUAAUAACAAGGUCAUCCUAUGUAAUAGAAGCAGGGGGGAGUGCAGACACAGUCCAGAAAAUCCUCUGCCAAAAUGCCUUGUACGCAAGUGGAGUGGUCAACCCCAGCCACCCCCACUGGGAGUGCCACCCAGACCAUAAUUCUCAGUGAUAAAGGCUUGGAUCCUUUCAUUGAAAUAACCCAAUAAGCUGAAGUUUGAUUAAGGGAAAGGGGGAAAAUUGGGUUUGUUUUGGAAGAUGGAUCACAAGUGACCAUGGCCUUAAACUUGUUCUAAUAAAAUGGCCUUAAUGAUCUGUGUUCAUCCUCUUUCCAGUGACUCAUAUUUACCCCCUCACAUAAGAUAUGAUGGGGAAGUUUACACACUGUCCAUUGGUCUCAAUAUGACUGGAUUGGGAUAAAGUGAGUAUCACCUCAUUGGACUGCAACAGAAUGUAGCUGACUUGGAUACCACUUUCUAGGGGCCCAGAGGGAAUGGAGGCUAGAUAUCUAAAAACUGCAUCACUUUUCUUGAAGUACAGGAGGAGUAGAUGUUGAUGUUAUCUGGUGAAAGGAGUGGGCUGACAUGUCCAUUUGGGGCCCUUAAGGAUGUCUUCUUGCUGUGACUUCAUUCUUCUAAGUUUUUGCCCUCUGGGUGUGUCGAUGUCUCACUUGAAAGUAUCUUAAACUUGUCUCAGCUAAUCUUUUAGCUCAUGCUUGAAGGUGGCAGCAGUGGGGUGUUGAAGCAGUUCUGGGCUAUGACUUGGGAGGAGGGGGUGUCUCUGGCUGUGCCCUGUUUUCUGGCUCAGAAAUCACUAUGCAGGCUGUAUAUUCUGAUUUCUAUUCUGCUUAAAUCAGUCUGUUUCUGAUCAAUGUGGCCGUUGUGUGACAACCUUAAACAUGCUCGGAUACAUGUUCCUUGGCCUUGCUUAAGCUGCUACCCCAUACUCUAGAUGGGCUGGAAGGCCCCUGAAGCCUGUGUGGCCUCUCAGAGCUCUCACCUUAAAAGCCGGCUCCUCUUACUUUGCUGUCUAAACCUGAGACCUAUGUAUGGGCAGCAUCUGUGGGAGCAUGGCUAGACCUCCUCAUGAGCUUUCUUCUGUGGAUAAAUGGCCUUUGCUUUCUUACACAUUCUAAGACAGCUACCUUCAGAGUACCCUGUCCUGCUGGCCUCAUGCCCUGGCUGUGAUGAGAAUCCCUCUUGACUACCAGGAUCAGUGCCCUAGCUGCCCUUUGCUUCUGUCCCAGUGUAACUCCUGGUGGAGUUUCUCCACACCAAUGCCCCUCUUUCUUGCCUUUGAUCAUUCUGACCCAAAAGCCUUACCUUAUUCCUACCUGUGCCUUGUCUGGAUGGCUCAGAGCUUGGAUGCAAAGAGCUAGAGGCCCUUUUCCAAACCCAGGUGGGAAGUAUGGUCUGGGCUAUAUCAUGUCUUCUACCCUGAAGCCUUCCUUCCAGGGCUCCUGAGGGCUGUGGGCAGUUUGAGCAGCAAGAAUCAGUUCCUUUCCUUCCCUUCCCUCCACCCCUCCCAUGAGCACCAGGAUGCCUCCAGGCUUGUCCCCCUUUCUCUAGCUGGGGUUGGCUUACUCUUGAUGCCUACUAGGUUCUGUGGGGUGUGAAUGGACUUGAUGUCACUGUUCUUGAGGUCCUGAGUACUAGGUGGGGGUGAAAGGACCCUGGUUGAAUUUAAUAGCAGAUAUGAACCUGAUGUGCUAGACUUGGGAUAAAGCCAAGAAUAAAGAAUUGUUUUUGUGGA